rnacentral:misc_RNA from 1 species
CCCGCCGAUGCUUUCGUUUACGUGCCGGAACUGGAGGCGUUGCUGGUUGAGGCUGCGCGCGUACUGAAGCCGCAGGGUUUGCUGGCGUUCACGGUGGAGACGCACGUUGGCAAAGGNCGUGGUUCUCGGUCCCGGGUUGCGCUACGCCCACAGCGAGGCCUAUCUGCGCGCCGCGAUUGCCGGUGCGGGAUUGACGCUCUGCGAAAUCACUUCGGCAUCCACCCGCAUCGAGGCGGGUGAGCCUGUGCCGGGACUGGUCGUCACCGCGAGCAAGACCUAACCANNNNNNNNNNNCGCCGCGGUCACCGGCGUAUCGAAGUGGUAAUUCACGCCGGUGCGGAAGAUGUGAUUGGUCUCUUCCGUCGUCAGGUUGUGCUGAAUG